CCUUAUUGAAGUCACUCAAAAUAAUAUUUAACAAAGUACGCAGUAGCAUGACAAUCCGCUAAAAGUAUACUCAGCCCGCCAAAUUUAGCCAACAGCUUUCCUUUUGGAAGCCGCACGUUGGUCUAUACACGAAUAACAACUUCCUUGUGUUCGAUAUAUAAAAUAAUUGUGUGACGAAAAUUUUCCCGGGAUGUGGUGUAUCACAAUAUUAGCCCUAUACAACCAAAACUGGUUACGUAUCUAUCGCGUUAGAAUCAGACUUUAUGUCGCUUAUGGCGUGUUUCCAGUACAUGAUGUCAAAAGAAAUGGCGCAAUUGAGCGAAGUUUGUCAAUAUUGUCCACCUUAAAGUCUACAUUAAACACGACGGGCUCUUGCCAGAACCUAAUGGCUGCAAGCCAAGACAGAUGUUCUAUAUAACCUAUGUCGACUUACUCGUGUGCCUGAAUAUAAACCUAAAUCCUGACCUUCAGCAGUUUGAACGGUCAAGGUGUCUGCUUGACGUCAAAUAGCAAUUUUCGUAGUUCGAUCGAAUGACGUCGUGUCCGCCAAAUAACAGGUAAGUUAAAAUGAUGCCUAGGAGGGGCGCUAAGCCGACUUCAUUUGAAAAUGUCGUAUCGUAAUAUGAAUGAUAAAUAUUUGGGGAGGGGGCAGAACAAUAUUUCCGGCAGGUAUUGAUUAGGCAGGUAAAGUAUUCCUUUAAAUAUACUGCAUAUACAGUUAAUGUGAAUUAACUCACUGAAGCCAAUCACGUAUUUUACCUGAAUAUCAUUUAUCAGGUUCCAAGUUGAUAAACAACGCUUAAAGCAUUUGUAAUAUGGUGUUACAGCAGCUAAUCUAUCGUAAUCGUGAACCCUGUUGAAUGGAAAGGGAACGAAGGUCCUGUAUUACGUAUUACAAUCGAUAUUUUGAAAUCUGUGCGUUACGCGAUUUUUGACAAUAUGCUCAAAAAAGAUGUCCCCGCACAUUUUAUACGAUUUAAUUUACAAAAAAAAUACAGUGAAAUUGCUCUAGCCCCGUUGUACAAUCGAUAAAUCGACCUAGAACACCAUCCUGAUUGACCUUCGUUGGCCCUGAAUAUAGCAUAAAAAAUAAAAUAGUUUUUACGUUUACCUGUCGUUUUUCCAGAAGCUCCCAACGACCGAUUAGAUGGAUGCUCGACGACAGUGAAAGCCUUUAUUUUAUAUACAUACACUUUAAAGCAACGAUCGAAACGAAUGUUGAGACAUCGAUCAAUAUAGAUAGAAAACAAACUAUAGGUCUAAAUGGUGUAACAUAAACUGAAGUCUGUGGCAAGAUAGAUGAUCGUUACGUAUCUAGAAACUGCAAAGUAUCUAUCUAUAAAUAUUUCUUGACUCUUGUUUACAUUUCAAAUACGCCAGUCUUGGUUAAGCUAUGCUUUUUUGUAGGACAUUUUCAAGUUAAUAUCGCUUACCAAACGAGCCUGACUUCGCGAAACAUCGCUUAUUAGACCGCUGCAUUUAUUGGUUCUUUCCGUACGUUCCGUAACGACAUAGGUUACAUUAAUUACAGACGGUUCAGCUGAAGCGAACGUUUUUUCCUUAAAUCGAUGAUAUAGAAUCAAGUAGGGUCUACGGAACUGCAGCGCAAAUAGUAGAAGUGUUUUCAACUAAGCCUGCCUUCAAAAUAUCUGUGAUAAAAUAUAUAGUAUUUCGCAUGUAUUACUUCAGAUUCCCCGAACAGUCAGUACCAAUUUAACCGACAAGUUGCCUCAUCGCGAUCUCCCGGAACACGAUCCUGCAUAUUCCUAGAAGAGACAGCAUGUGCCUCAGAUUACAUGAGUUGGGUAGGAUAGCACACUUUGUGAAUAUUUAGGAAGACGUAUUCGGAGUGAACUAUGCGAUAGGAAUUGAGAAUUCAUUUGGCCCGUAUAGACUUCUUCAAAACGUCUAUGGUUGAAUGUAAAAGUAAAAGUAUUACUCAAACACUUAUAGAAAAAAACGUACACCGCCGCGGACGAACAGCGAAGAAAAUGUAUAGAACAGAGAGCUCAAACAAUAUAAUUCAGAACUGUCCAUGAACCUUAUAAUGUAUGAAUUUUUCUAACUGGAAUUGUACCAAAAUCGUAUCACGGAGCUACUGCUCAUAUUGCAAUUUCAAUAUUGCAGCUAUUUAGAACUGUUUCUAUAUAAUAAUUGUCCUUAUGCCAAGAGGUAUUAUCUAAUACAUCUCGGUAUGUUUGUUAUUAUAGCAUAACCUUGGCUGAGUAAAGUCGUUCAAAAAUACAGAUUAACACAGCAGAUCCUCAGUAAUUUACUAAAUUAUAGAAAUACACUAUUUUCCGGAUACCUGAGUUUUGAUUUAUAUAUAUAUAUAUAUAUAUAAACACUUUAAUGAGUUCUCAACACAAAAGAGGUGCUAGUUACAAACACCGACAAAAUAAAGGUUACGUUUCGCAACA